rnacentral:rRNA from 1 species
GAUGAACGCUGGCGGCGUGCCUAAUACAUGCAAGUCGAGCGAACAGACGAGGAGCUUGCUCCUCUGACGAUAGCGGCGGACGGGUGAGUAACAUGUGGAUAACCUACCUAUAAGACUGAGAUCACUACGGGAAACCGGAGCUAAUCCCGUAUAAUAUAUUGAACCGCAUGGUGCAAUAGUGAAAGACGGUUUUGCUGUCACUUAUAGAUGCAUCCGCGCUGCAUUAGCUAGUAGGUAAGCUUAAGGCCUACCAAGGCGACGAGGCGUAGCCGACCUGUGAGGCUGAUCGGCCACACGAGAAGGGAACCACGGACCAGACUCCUGAGAGAGGCAGCAGUAUGGUAUGUUACGCAGAAGGGGGAAGCCUGACGGAACAACGCGGCGUGAGUGAUAGAGAUCCUGGGUUCGUGAAACUCUGUUAUUAGGGAAAAACCGAUGUGUAAGUAACUAUACACGUCUUGACGGUACCUGAUCAGGAAGCCACGGCUAACUACGUG